rnacentral:lncRNA from 1 species
CACAAUUUCGUUUAAAUUUUGUUUUCAAAUAAUAUUUUAUAAAUUUGUCUAAGUGAUUUUUCUUUUUUAAAUGGCAAGUUUAAAGACGUUUAAAAGUAUACACGGCAAGGAAAUGUUACUUGUAAAUAAUUAUGAAUUCAUGCUUGAUAAGAUACGACUGCGAAUACGUGAUUAAAAUAAUAUAUAUUAUUGGAAAUGUACAAAACGAUGUGGAGCAACAUUUCGGACAAUAUUUGACCACGGUAAACAUAAACAAGACGAUUGUUCUAUUUUUAAUGAUCAUUACCACGCACCAGAUACAGUUAAAAUUCAAUGCAAAAUUUUAAAAAAUAAAAUUAAAAAAUGUGCUCAAGCUUCACAAGACGCACCAAAUCAAAUAUAUCUGAAUGAAAUUGCAAAUUGCAAUGUCAUAAUUUCAUCUCAAGAAACUAAAAACGCAUCUAAGCAAAUCGUAAAAAGGCAGAGAAAAGAAAAAGAACUAGAACCAGUUUCACUAAAUUUUAUACCUCCCUCGGAACUUCAAAAUACAAUUUCAGGACAACCUUUCUUUUUGAAAAAUGUAAUCGAAGGAAAUAAUAAAUUUAUGAUUUUCACAACAGUUCAGAAUUUUAUAUACUUGAGAGAAUCACAUUUUUGACUCGCUAAUGGAACAUUCAAGGCUUGUCCUGGAAUUUUUAAACAGAUAUUUACAAUACAUGGGUCAAUUUCACGAGGUAUCAAUAACAACAUUUGUGUACCAUUGCUAUACGUGUUGAUGACCAACCAAACUGAAGAUGAUUAUAAAACAGUGCUAAAUGUGUUUAAUAAUUUUGCGAUUGAAAAUAAUAUUAAUUUCGAAAACAAUAAUGAACUUGAAAUAAUAACGGACUUUGAAAAAGCUUCAAUCAACGCGAUCAAUGAUGUCUUUCCAUUUGUAACGCAUUCUGUUUGUUUUUUUCAUUUUUGUCAAAAUAUCUGGCGUCAUAUUUAAAAAGAAGGGCUAUCUACAAAGUACAUGGAAGACCCGGAAUUUAAUUUGAUCUGUCGGUAUUUGCCUGCUUAUUCUUUUCUCCCAGUAAACAAAGUAAUCGAAGGUUGGGAAAUUGUGAAAUUAUUAUUUAGUGACAACGAAAGAGUACAAGCACUUUUAGAAUAUUUCGAAAAUACUUACAUUUAUGGUAAACCAGCUAUGAGACUACGCGGACGUAUAAAACCUCAACAACACCCUCCCUUAUUUCCAAUUGACAUGUGAUCAGUAGCUUCAAGAGUUGAUUAAAAUGUGCCAAGAACAACAAAUAUUGCUGAAUCAUGGCACAGUCGACUUAAUAGAUUAGUAUCCAAACAACCAGGAGUUUACAAAUUAAUGAGAUAAUUCCGAAAAAUUCAGAAUGAAACUGAAAACUCUAUAGAACAAAUAAUUCAAGGCAGAACAAGUAAGAAAAGAAAAACAUGCAAUGAAGAACGGGAACAACGAAUUAAAAAUUUAGUUUUAAGACUAAAAAAUUCAGAAAUAAAUAUCAUUGAGUUUUUACGAGGAAUAUCAUACAAUUUAAGUUUUUAGUUUUUUUUUUUUAUUUAACAUUUACAUUUAUUGACUUAUUUAUCUUAC